UGUGGCCGACCAGGGUGGGUGUCUGGAGUAGAUGGGGUGCAGAAAGAAAAAGUGGGGUGCCACUCACAAUAUUCUUCGAUGAAACUCUCAUAGAAUUAUCUUAUCAAUUCUAUAUGGCACCCCAAAUGCUCCCUUAUUUAAAUCCAACACCCCAACUCCCUUAUCCUAUCCAUCUAGGAUUCAAACUCAAGUUUAAAUCAAAUUUAAACUUACAUUGAUGGAUAAGGAUAAGAUAUGAUAGAGAGAGAAUACUAGGGAAGAGGGGCACCCACUCUUGGC
rnacentral:lncRNA from 1 species